AUACGGAGGGUGCAAGCGUUAUCCGGAAUCAUUGGGUUUAAAGGGUCCGCAGGCGGAUUAAUAAGUCAGUGGUGAAAUCCUCUCGCUCAACGAGAGAACUGCCAUUGAAACUGUUAGUCUUGAAUUCGGUCGAAGUAGGCGGAAUGUGUCAUGUAGCGGUGAAAUACAUAGAUAUGACACAGAACACCGAUAGCGAAGGCAGCUUACUAGACCUGGAUUGACGCUGAUGGACGAAAGCGUGGGGAGCGAACAGGAUUAGAAACCCCUGUAGUCC
rnacentral:rRNA from 1 species